CUUUCUCACAAUCUGUCAGAUGCCUCCAAAGGCCCUGAGGUGAUAACUACAGGAUAAAAAUAUUCACUUAAAUUAGUGGUUUUCAACACUGGCUGUAAAACAGAAUCAUAUGUGGGUUCUUAAAAGACUGAUGCUAGGGGCUUAUCCCAGACCAAUGGAAAUGGACUCUCUGGAGGUGAAAACCAGGUAAACUGGCCUCAAAAAAGUGGAUAAUAUUCUAACAUGGGAAUGCAAAACCAUCAUGCCUGGAAGAUCACUGCAUCAAGGAUAUAUGAUUGUGUGGCCUGACAAUCUCAGAAAGUAAAAGCAAAGAAAUUGAAAGACAUGGAAAGAACUAGGCCGGGACCAGCACUGGGCCUUAAUAACCAGUUCACUGAGAUGCAUUAUCCAUAUGAUUCAAGAGAGAGCCUUUAUUACUCAUCCGACCAAGCUUGCAGUGAAACUUUUUGUAAGAAAAGGAAUGGUGUGUUGAGAAUUAAAAUUAAGUGACAUCACCAACAAAAGAACCUAACUGCCCAUGCCUGUAACUUCCUGGACUUGGGGAGGCCAGAGAGCUCCAAUGGACUGAAAAUAGGACAAUUCAUUUAUACAGAACAGAACAGAAGUUCCUUCAUGGAGAAAUCUAUCAUCCACACGCCCCAUUAAAAAGCAAAUGAGAAAAAUCUCAGACAUCUUGUCUGCUGUUUUAUGCUGUCUAUUCCUUUAAUAUCCUUCCCAAGGUUCUUUUUUUAUUGUUUGGCCACAAUGCCUUUUAAAUAUAAACAGAAAAG
rnacentral:lncRNA from 1 species